rnacentral:lncRNA from 1 species
AUAUGGAGGUUCCCAGGCUAGGGGCCUAAUCCGAUCUGUAGCCGCCAGCCUACACCACAGCCAACAGCAACGCUGGAUCCUUAACCCACUGAGCGAGGCCAGAGAUCAAACCCACAACCUCAUAGUUCCUGGUCCGAUUCGUUAACCACUGAGCCACGACGGGAACUCCUCACAUGUUAUUUCUAAGCACUCCUUAUAAUGUCUGGGGAAGGAAGACAAAUUGUUUUUUUAACGAAACCUUUUCAAUUCUUAGUGGAUUUGAUUUUUAAGGUUUCACACUCCUUUUCCCAAUAAGUCUGAAGCAGUGAUGUUGUGGACAUGAGUGGUGCUUAAUCGAAUGAGUUUUGCUGGCGCUUUCAAAGACAUGGUGAUGAUGUAGCAGUGGGCUGACUGAGCUGAACCGAAUACACUACAUUUAUUCCCUUAUUAAUUAUUCAUACGUGGACGUCUUCCAGAAAUAAUAUAGAGGCGUAUACAAUAAAGAUUACAUUUGUAGUAGGACUGCAAAACCACAGGUCAAAGAGCCAUGUAACGACGGGAGGGGAGUUAAUUGUACAAGAAAAUCAGAGUUGAAGGUCUUUAUUUCAGAGAAGCCCAAACUUUACCUCUGAGGUUCCUGACAGCCAAGGUGAGAAAAGAAUAAUGAGUCACAUGGCUCUUAGUAUCUUGUAAAAUAAGCUUUCGAUGCCUGGAGGUAAUGCUAUGCCUUGAUCCCACCUUUUCUUUGAAGAACAAAAUAUCUGAUGUUUAUGCCAAGUGACAUUUUCCUCAUCUUUCAGGAGAGCUUUUACAACGGCUGCAGGGGUUUUGUUUCAUAUAACUAUCAUUUGAUUGACCUUCAAAUAAAGCUGAAGGCACAUUCAUUUGUAAUUUUGAAGCCAUUUCUAUUUCAGUAAAAUGAAGUAGUUCAUAGAUUUUUGGUUUUCUUUUGGGGUUUCGAGAGUCUACCUGGGUACAGUGAUAGAGCUUAGAGAGGGGAUGAAAGUCUUGCCAUGUGGCUCUGUAUUAUCUGUCUCCAAGAUGAGUAGUCUCCUGCAGGGUUUUGACAGGGUCUGGAGAGUUUAUUAUCUGAGAACCAAACACAGAAAAGUUAGCCUUUUGUAGAAAAGUAACCAUAUGCUAGAGCCAUGGGGCAGGUUGUUGGCAGAGUCAACAUGGUGCUGUGCAGUUAAAAAGUUGCCUUGUAUUCUGACGCUAUGGCGCUCCAUUCUGCAGGACAGGGAAGUGGGCUACCGACUAUUCCAAACAGGGACAGGUUUUCUUUUUUUAAUUUUUUGAUUAAAGUAUAGCUGAUUUACAGUGUUACGCCAAUUUCUGCUGUAUAGCCUAGGGACCCAGUCAUAUAUAUAUACACACUUCCUUCUUAUAUUACCUCCCAUCAAGUUCUAUCCCAAGAGACCAGAUAUAGUUCCUUGUGCUGUACUAUAGGACCUCAUUGCUCAUCCAUUCUAAACAUAAUAGUUUGCAUCUGCCAACCCCAACCUCCGCGUCCAUCCCUCUCUCUUCCCCUCCCCCUUGGCAACCACAAGUCUGCUCUCUGCCUCUAUGAGUCUCUUUCUGUUUUGUAGAUAGGUUCGUCUGUGCUCUAUUUUAGAUUCCACAUAAGUGGUAUCAUAUGGUAUUUGUCUUUCUCUUUCUGACUUCCUUCACUUUGUGCAAAUGGCAUUAUUUCAUUCUUUUUUUUUUUUUUUUUUUUUGUCUUUUUGCCAUUUCUUGGGCCGCUCCCGCAGCAUAUGGAGAUUCCCAGGCUAAGGGUCUAAUCGGAGCUGUAGCUGCCAGCCUACACCAGAGCCACAGCAACGUGGGAUCCGAGCUGCGUCUGCAACCUACACCACAGCUCGCGGCAAUGCCAGAUCCUUACUUAACCCACUGAGCAAGGGCAGGGACCGAACCCGCAACCUCAUGCUUCCUAGUCGGAUUCGUUAACCACUGUGUCACGACGGGAACUCCCUAUUUCAUUCUUUUGAGAGUAUGGCUGAGUAGUAUUCCAUUGUAAGUAUGUACCACCUCUUCUUAAUCCAUUUCUGUGUCUAUGGACAUUUAGGUUGUUUCCAUGUCUUGGUUAUUGUGAAUAGUGCUGCUGUGAACAUUGGGGUGCAUUUGUCUUUUUGAAUUGUAGUUAUGUCCAGAUAUAUGUCCAGGAGUAGGAUUGCUGCAUCUUAUGGUAGUUCUAUAUUUAGUUUUCUGAGGAAUUUCCAUAUUGUUUACCAUAGUGGUUUUACCAAUUUACAUCUCCACCAAGAGGGUAGGAGGGUUUCAAACAGGGAUAGGUUUUGACAUUUAAAGUGAAGAGAACUAUAAAUGGGGACUACAGUCAAGAUUUUGUAAUAACCUACAAGAGAAAAAAAUCUGAAAAAUGAUAUAUAUAUAUAAUAUCCGUUUUAUAUAUAUAACUGUAUAUAUAUAAAUGAAUCAUUUGCUAUAUACCUGAAACUAAUACAACAUUGUAAAUCAACUAUAUUUCAAUAAAAAUAAAAUAAAAUAAAUAAAAUGAGGGCAACUAUAAAGGCAGAUAAACCCUCAUGAGCUGUAGUAUUCCCACUUAGGGAGGUAGCCUUGAGUAGAAAAGGUAAUUCUUGAAGCCCACAGAGAGAACUAUGAUGCAGGGUUUCCCAAACUCACUCAACCAAGAAACUCAAUUUUCCUUAGAGUAUAAUGAGAGAACCUCAAUGGGAAAUUAUGGAAUAUGAUGUGUGCUCAAAAAUGUGAUGCCACAGAUGAAUUAAUCACUGUAAGAAAUGAUCAAGCUGGAUUCAUAUGUUUAAUAUACAAUAAACAUUGACUAAUGCCAUAAAUAUAUGUUAAAAUAAUAAGCCAUGAUGCAUAACAUGGACCAGCAGGCUUCAGAGAAAUGACAUGCCGUUUGAUGCUGAUUCGCAAUUGUCAGGGCCAAGGUUUGAGGUUCGAAACCUCUUUGCUUCUCCAGCGUGCUUUUGGGAGGUAAGGUAUGAACACAAAGCACUGAGCCAAAUAGGGAUCAUAUCGCUCCUUCCCCCAAGGUCCUGCUAGAUUGUUCUAUGGGUUGUCGUUUAGACUCAGAGCCCAAAUGGAGCAGCCUUCUCUUCUGCAUCAUGGCGAACUGAACCUGUCAGCCCAGGCCCAGGGAGAGAGGCUGGUGGAGCAUCCUGUUCCUCUUCUCCACACACACUCUACCUGCGAAGCCUACACAUGCUGACUCAGGGGGCUGACUGUUAAGUUUUCAAGAAUUUUGUAAGCCUGUUGUGAAACAUCACCAUUCUUUUAAGAGAUCAAAAUGUAUAACUUUAAAAUUCAGGACAUUAUAUUUUCAAAGGUGACAGUCACAGUUUAUUCUUUCCCGUUAUGUAUUAAAUUUCAUUAUUAUCUGUGCUUUUGCGGUGAUGAUGGAAACACUCCCUAAUCAGGGAUGUCAAGGGGGCAUAGGUUGAAAUUGGCCCUGGUGGGAGUAUUUACACCAUGCACAUUGGCUAAUGCUGCAGACUCAUUUUUCUUUCUUUUCUUUUUUUCUUUUUUGUUUAAUAUACAGCACAGGGAAGUUCCCAGGCCAGGGGUUGAAUCAGAGCUGCAGCUCCCAGCUUACUGCCACAGCCGCACAGGAUCGGAGCUGCAUCUGUGACCUACACCACAGCUCAGGGCAAUGCUGGAUCCCUGACCACCUGAUUGAGGCCAGGAAAGGGAUCGAACCUGCAUCCUCAUGGAUACUAGUUGGAUUCCUUUCCACUGCCCCACAAUGGGAACUCCUCAUUUUUAUUUCUUGAAGAGCCAGUUAAAAAUUUACCAGCACUGCUGUGCCUACCCCUAGCCAGAACACUUCUAUCAGCUCGAUUUGGUUAAGAGAAAACCUUAAGUAACCCUGAACUGGUUAGUCAGCCAAGCAGAGGGCCCAGCAAUUCCACUCAGAGAUUUUGCUCUAAUUGUCUCUUUACAUGAUAAGGUAACGUUUCUACACAUGGGACACCUGUGUCAUGAGUGAAUCAGAGAGUAGACGAAUGGGAAUUGACUAAUGGAGACACAAAAAUAAUUAAUGAAAAUACUGAGGCCUCUUCUGUGCCACACCUGAGCUCAGAGCUCCUUGCUCCUAAGGAGGUCAUAGCUUUGGGGCAAACGUGGCAAGUCCUCAGGGCAUUUCACUGGUGCCUGGCAAGCAGUGGGGCAGGGUAAAUACACUGUCCCCUCAAGUACUUAGUGGAGGCAUUUAGCUCACAUUCAACAUCCAGGAAGUCUUCCUGGAAUAAGUGACAUUUAAGCUGAGAUCUGGAAGAUAAGCAAGCCUUAGCUGGGCCAAGCUCUGCAAGCCAUGGGAGUGGCAUCUGCAGAGGUCUGAUGGAGAAAGAGCACUGAGAAGCUGGGGCGCUACUGGAGGGUCAGUGCGGAUGGAGUGCAGAAGCCAGCAGAGGGGGCAGGAGUCGGGUCGCACCAGGACUGUGGCAAGCUUUGCCAGGCAAGCCUCAGACAUGCCAUCUGAUCCCAAAGGCAAUGGGGAAACAGGGUUUUCAAUGGGGCCAUGAGAGUCAGCUUCACUGUUUAUAACUCAUCUGAUGGCUAGUUGAAGAGGGACUAGAAGGGCCCACGGCUACCAAUAGAGAAACUCUGGGAACUUGGACAUCUAGGCAGGGUGACUGUUUGUAAGAUAAAAAGUCAAGUUCUUCGAUUUCCUUACCAGGGAGGGUGGCCAUGACCCUGCGGAGAGCAACGUUGGUGAAAUGGUUGGGAGUCCUGAUAGCAGUGGCUUGGAGAUGGACGAGGAGGCGAGGAAGCGUUGACAGCAGUUUUUCUUUUGUUCUCUGGCCAUGGACAAUGUUUAGAAGGAUUUUGGUGGAGAGAAGUGGGAGGAGAGUGGAGGGUACCUGGGGUUGGAGAAGGGCGAGGUGGUGACUUCACCACUGGAUGGAAGCACAUCUUACGACAGUCCUCGUUUUCCUGGAUGUUCAGACAUCAGGCUAAGACAAGUACACGGCUUGUGGCAGACAAACCACAGUAUCCCCCAGCCACCGCGACCUGGUUCUGGAAGGUCCUCUCCUUCCUCUAGCCUCCUUUGACAAGCUGUUGAGUUCCCCAGCUCUCCAUUUCAUUCAUCCUUGCCUCUGAAGACAGGGGCCUGUCCUGCUCAUCAGCAUAUCUUCAGAGCAGACACCGACUCUUUGUGGAAUGAAGGAUUGAGUGAUUAAUCAAAACACAAUUAGAUAACAAUGACUUUUAAAGUUCCUAGAGGGUCCUUUACAGAGUAAGACGUGUUGGUUGAUGCAAAUGAAUUUAAUCUGAGCACGAAUUUAAUUUGAGGAGAAUGGCUCCUUGGAGAUGCAUGUAAGAUUUCUUCUCAUCCACUCUUGCCCACUCAGUCUAGUCUCUGCUUUUCUUCAAGCUAGGUAUUGAACUAGGAAGUGGACCUUUCGAUCCACCCCUUUCCUCAAGCCCCUCUUUCAAAAUGGGGGAGUUCAGGGAGUUCCCGUUGUGGCUCAGUGAGUUAAGAACCUGACUUGUGGAGUUCCCAUUGUGGUGCAGUGGAAAUGAAUCCGACUAGGAACCAUGAGGUUGCGAGGUCCAUCCAAGAAUAUUGGGCCCCGAAACUAACUUGGGGCUCAGCAGAAACGAAUCUGACUAGUAUGCAUAAGGAUGCAGGUUCGAUCUCUGCCCUCACUCAGUGGGUUAAGGAUCCAGGGUUGUCGUGAGCUGUGGUGUAGGUUGCAGCCGCUGCUCAGAUCUGGUGUUGCUGUGGCUGUGGUGUAGGCCAGCAGCUAUAGCGGGUGGGGCCCUAAAAAGACAAAAACAAAAACAAAAACCAAACAAAAAAGGAACCUGACUAGUAUCCAUGAGGAUGAGGGUUUGAUCCCUGGCCUCACUUAGUGGGAUAAGGCCUUGCUGUGAGCUGUAGUGUAGGUCAUAGCUGAGGCUCAGAUCUGGCGUUGCUGUGGCUGUGGUGCAGGCCGACAGCUAUAGCUCUUAUUUGACCCCUGGCCUGCGAACUUCCAUGUGUUGCAUGUGCAGCCCU